rnacentral:rRNA from 1 species
UACGUAGGGCGCAAGCGUUGUCCGGAAUUAUUGGGCGUAAAGAGCUCGUAGGCGGUGUGUCGCGUCGGAUGUGAAAGUCCGGGGCUCAACUCCGGAUCUGCGGUGGGUACGGGCAGACUAGAGUGAUGUAGGGGAGACUGGAAUUCCUGGUGUAGCGGUGAAAUGCGCAGAUAUCAGGAGGAACACCGAUGGCGAAGGCAGGUCUCUGGGCAUUAACUGACGCUGAGGAGCGAAAGCAUGGGGAGCGAACAGG